GAGUUUGAUCCUGGCUCAGAUUGAACGCUGGCGGCAUGCCUUACACAUGCAAGUCGAACGGCAGCACGGGAGCUUGCUCCUGGUGGCGAGUGGCGAACGGGUGAGUAAUGCAUCGGAACGUAUCCUGGAGUGGGGGAUAACGUAGCGAAAGUUACGCUAAUACCGCAUAUUCUGUGAGCAGGAAGGCGGGGGACCUUCGGGCCUCGCGCUCUUGGAGCGGCCGAUGUCGGAUUAGCUAGUUGGUGAGGUAAAGGCUCACCAAGGCGACGAUCCGUAGCAGGUCUGAGAGGAUGAUCUGCCACACUGGAACUGAGACACGGUCCAGACUCCUACGGGAGGCAGCAGUGGGAAUUUUGGACAAUGGGGGCAACCCUGAUCCAGCCAUGCCGCGUGAGUGAAGAAGGCCUCGGUU
rnacentral:rRNA from 1 species